rnacentral:rRNA from 1 species
AGAGUUUGAUCCUGGCUCAGGACGAACGCUGGCGGCGUGCUUAACACAUGCAAGUCGAACGGAAAGGUCUCUUCGGAGAUACUCGAGUGGCGAACGGGUGAGUAACACGUGGGUGAUCUGCCCUGCACUUCGGGAUAAGCCUGGGAAACUGGGUCUAAUACCGGAUAGGACCACGGGAUGCAUGUCUUGUGGUGGAAAGCGCUUUAGCGGUGUGGGAUGAGCCCGCGGCCUAUCAGCUUGUUGGUGGGGUGACGGCCUACCAAGGCGACGACGGGUAGCCGGCCUGAGAGGGUGUCCGGCCACACUGGGACUGAGAUACGGCCCAGACUCCUACGGGAGGCAGCAGUGGGGAAUAUUGCACAAUGGGCGCAAGCCUGAUGCAGCGACGCCGCGUGGGGGAUGACGGCCUUCGGGUUGUAAACCUCUUUCACCAUCGACGAAGGUCCGGGUUCUCUCGGAUUGACGGUAGGUGGAGAAGAAGCACCGGCCAACUACGUGCCAGCAGCCGCGGUAAUACGUAGGGUGCGAGCGUUGUCCGGAAUUACUGGGCGUAAAGAGCUCGUAGGUGGUUUGUCGCGUUGUUCGUGAAAUCUCACGGCUUAACUGUGAGCGUGCGGGCGAUACGGGCAGACUAGAGUACUGCAGGGGAGACUGGAAUUCCUGGUGUAGCGGUGGAAUGCGCAGAUAUCAGGAGGAACACCGGUGGCGAAGGCGGGUCUCUGGGCAGUAACUGACGCUGAGGAGCGAAAGCGUGGGGAGCGAACAGGAUUAGAUACCCUGGUAGUCCACGCCGUAAACGGUGGGUACUAGGUGUGGGUUUCCUUCCUUGGGAUCCGUGCCGUAGCUAACGCAUUAAGUACCCCGCCUGGGGAGUACGGCCGCAAGGCUAAAACUCAAAGGAAUUGACGGGGGCCCGCACAAGCGCCUCCGCGUGGCAUGAGUGCAUAGCGUCGC